ensembl:lncRNA
CGUGGCACCGCGGAGCCCCGAGGGGGGAGGUGGAGCUCCAGGUGUGCGGGGUCACCACGCCGCCCCGCGGGGGAGCAGCCAGGUGCGCGCAGCGCUAUGGGGCCGGGGGUCCGUCGCGGGGGGAGCCGUCAGUUGCCUCCCUCGGCCAAUUUUAGAAACUGGCCGGACAAGAAAGGCAGAGGCCGGGCGGGAUUUACGGCCGGGUGGGUGUUUCUUUUCUUUUCUUUUCUUUCCUUUUUUUUUUUUACGUUCUUCUCUGGAGGUUUUCCUUCCCUCCUCCUUCGGAGGCGCGGAGCAGCGGCGGCUCCGGGCGGUGGGUCCCAUUCCAUGGGAGAUGCGGGGCGGUGCGGGGCCGAGCUGGGGGGUGGGGGGGGGGAGGCACGGGGACAGCAGCAGGCCUGCGUGUGGCACGAGGGCACACAGGUGCACGCUCCCUCCUUGCACACGUGGCAUUGCACCCACCCGGGGCAGCGGCCAAUGCAUGGGGACCCCCCCCCCCCACACACACACAGCCCCGCAGCCCCCCCCAGGCCCAGCUGCCCGCCCCCCAGGUGUACUCCCCUGCGCAGCAGGUGACCCUUAAAAUGCAAUUAACCCUUUUAUGGUUAUUAUUAUCGCGAUCACUUCUUGAGCCCUCCCAGCGCUGAGGUGGCUCAUCCCCGUCAAAUCAGAGCGUCGGCACCGCAAGAGGGGGGGUGGGCGCAGGGCUGGGGGGGGUGUGUGGGGGGGGGAAACUGAGGCAGGGAGGAGGUGAUGCCCCCGAGCUGUGCCUGUGUGCACGAGGAGCCCCCCCAGCGCACAGAGCGCCCAUGCAGGGCCCCGUAUCCCAGCGCCACCCCACCCAGGGAUGGCACGCAGGGGUGGCACGGGGUCAGGCUCAGGAUCAGGGUGGUGCCACGGGGCCGUACCCCGCAGGGAUGGGGAUCGGGCGCUCCGAUCCUCCUCCAGGGGGGCUCUGAGCGCCACCCCUCACACAGCCCCAUCCACGUGCGCCCCCCUCCCAGCUGGGAGCGUUCCAUUAAAAUUGGAAGAGCGCAACUUGCCGGCACAGCCCCGGCGCGGAUCGUACACAGCCUGUCACUCACACAUCACUUUGUAGAUGCCCAUAAAUUGCUUCAUUACCUCUUCUAAUUGAGGAGAACGCAGCUGCUGUGGGGCGGUGACGGAGCGCCUUCCCUUUGAAGGAUGCCUCGCUCUCCAAAGACGGGUCCGGCACAGCCGCAGAGCCCCAAACCAUCCCAGUAACGCCAUGCGCACGGUGGGCGCCGCCGGCAGAACCCGCACCAAAGCCGUGGGCCGGGGGCAGGGGGAGGGCGAGCGGCACGGGGAGCCCAUCCCGCUGGGGAAACUGAGGCACGGUGCGGGAACGCCGCCCCCCGCGGUACACCAGAGGGGGGCUGCGGUGACGGGGGGCCAUCCCACAGGGCCGAAAGUCCCUCGAAAAGUCCCUGGGGAACUUCCCGUCCCGGCGGAGGCGGCCGCGUCCUCACCAGCACGGAGACACGGAGGGCACCGCUGCCACCCCACGCCCCCGUACCCGGUGAGGGCACAGCGCUGCGCCCCGGCCCUGCGUGGGCCCCCGGCUUUGUCUGGGAGGAGCAGCGGCUGCGGCUGGGCUCGGUCCCCUUGCAGGAUACUGCAGAAGGAUUUACUGUAUUGCAGCUUGUGCUGGCUGCAGCCCAGCGCACAAUAGAUUAGCUGUAGCCCAGGGCAGCACGUUGCGGGGGAAGGAAGGUGGGACUCAUUCGGAUGCAGAUUGCAGGGCGUUUGCUGCAGUAUACUGCAGGAUCCGGACCCCCGCCGCCCCGCUAUGGGGCUGGCAGCGGUGGGGCUGCGAGGGACCCACGCGUCCCCACACGUCCCCACGCAUCGCCGCCCCCCUCCAAGCGCACCCGUGGCCGCGUUCCAAAGUGUCCCCACGGCUCCCCGCGCUGUCCCCACGCGUCCCCUGGCCCCGAGCGUGGGGCGAACACGGGGUGCGGAGGGUCCCCCCCCCCCCGGCCCCCCGGUGCCGGCACAAAGCUGGUGCAGGGAGGGACCGGUGACUGCGAGCAGCACUAAUUGAUCGCCAUUAAUUCAGCUCCUACCUCCCCGGGUGGCAGGGAGAGAUGCUGAGACACAAAUGCAGCCCACAGAGCUCCCAAAACGGGCUGUGCUCUCCCCCGCGCGCCCCCUCCCCCAAACCCGGGGGGGACGAGCGCCCAUCCAUCCCCGUGGUGCCAAUGGGGCGCAAUGGGGUGCCGGGAGCCCCGCUCCGCUGGGUGCCACCCCAAAGGUGCCGGGGACACACGGUUGGGGCCGGGCCCUUGGGGCCAAUCUCCUUCCUCAGGGUGUUUUGGGAAAUGCUGGCAGAGGGGCUCUGUGUGGAUCAUCCCCCGGUACCACAACCCCAUGGGAUGUGGGGAUGGGGGAUGGAGGGAUGGGGGAUGUGGGGAUGGGGGAUGCGGGGAUGGGGGGUGCGGGGAUGGGGGGUGCAGGGAUGGGGGUUGUGGGGAUGGAGGAUGCAGGGAUGAGAGAUACUGGGAUGGGGGAUGAUGUGAUGGGGGAUGCAGGGAUGGGGGAUGCGGGGAUGGGGGAUGCAGGGAUGGGUUAUGCGGGGAUGUGAAACUAAGGGUUGGGGGAUGGAGGGAUGGGAGGUGCAGGGAUGGGGGAUGUGGGGAUGAGGGACAGAGGGAUGGAGGAUGGAGGGAUGGGGAGUGUGGGGAUGGGGGAUGUGGGGAUAGGGGGUGCAGGGAUGGGGAAUUAAGCGAUGGGGGAUGUCGGGAUGGGGGAUCUAGAGAUAGGGGAUGUGGGGAUGGGGGAUACGGGGAGGUGAUGCUCACGGGUACCAGAGGGGGGAACCAACAGCCUCACAGCGAUGCCACAGCACCUUUGGCACCAUCACCGCGUGCCACCCUCCUCCAUCACCCAUCCCUUCACCCAGCCCUGAGCUCCCAACCCCAAACGCCUCCAUUUUUGGAGCACGUGUGCGUGCCUGCAGCGGGGGCGACCGGCGAGGGGGGUACCAAUCCAGCCCCCCCCAACCACCCCCCCUCCUCACCACGGUCUGGCUUUCAGGGGGGAGACUUUGGAGCCUGCAAAUUGAGGCACCAUAAUCCUACGUCGGAUGCAGUUUCCACAGCAACAGCGGGUCAGAGGGCAGCGAGGGGAGCUGGCUGCUGCGCCGGAUUGCGGUUGUGCCGCAGCCGAAACAGCCGGCGGGGCGCGGGGCGAAGGCCGGGCGAUGCCGGGG